GGUUAAGCGACUAAGCGUACACGGUGGAUGCCCUGGCAGUCAGAGGCGAUGAAGGGCGUGCUAAUCUGCGAUAAGCGCCGGUAAGGUGAUAUGAACCGUUAUAACCGGCGAUACCCGAAUGGGGAAACCCAGUGUGAUUCGUCACACUAUCAUUACGUGAAUACAUAGCGUAAUGAAGCGAACCGGGGGAACUGAAACAUCUAAGUACCCCGAGGAAAAGAAAUCAACCGAGAUUCCCCCAGUAGCGGCGAGCGAACGGGGAGGAGCCCAGAGCCUGAAUCAGCAUGUGUGUUAGUGGAAGCGUCUGGAAAGGCGCGCGAUACAGGGUGACAGCCCCGUACACAAAAGCGCAUGUGCUGUGAGCUCGAUGAGUAGGGCGGGACACGUGGUAUCCUGUCUGAAUAUGGGGGGACCAUCCUCCAAGGCUAAAUACUCCUGACUGACCGAUAGUGAACCAGUACCGUGAGGGAAAGGCGAAAAGAACCCCGGCGAGGGGAGUGAAAAAGAACCUGAAACCGUGUACGUACAAGCAGUGGGAGCACAGGUUUACCUGUGUGACUGCGUACCUUUUGUAUAAUGGGUCAGCGACUUAUAUUCUGUAGCAAGGUUAACCGUAUAGGGGAGCCGGAGGGAAACCGAGUCUUAACCGGGCGUUAAGUUGCAGGGUAUAGACCCGAAACCCGGUGAUCUAGCCAUGGGCAGGUUGAAGGUUGGGUAACACUAACUGGAGGACCGAACCGACUAAUGUUGAAAAAUUAGCGGAUGACCUGUGGCUGGGGGUGAAAGGCCAAUCAAACCGGGAGAUAGCUGGUUCUCCCCGAAAGCUAUUUAGGUAGCGCCUCGUGAAUUCAUCUCCGGGGGUAGAGCACUGUUUCGGCUAGGGGGCCAUCCCGGCUUACCAACCCGAUGCAAACUGCGAAUACCGGAGAAUGUUAUCACGGGAGACACACGGCGGGUGCUAACGUCCGUCGUGAAGAGGGAAACAACCCAGACCGCCAGCUAAGGUCCCAAAGUCAUGGUUAAGUGGGAAACGAUGUGGGAAGGCCCAGACAGCCAGGAUGUUGGCUUAGAAGCAGCCAUCAUUUAAAGAAAGCGUAAUAGCUCACUGGUCGAGUCGGCCUGCGCGGAAGAUGUAACGGGGCUAAACCAUGCAC
rnacentral:rRNA from 1 species